UGGGGAAUCUUGCGCAAUGGGCGAAAGCCUGACGCAGCGACGCCGCGUGGGCGAAGAAGGCCUUCGGGUUGUAAAGCCCUGUGGGGGAGAACGAACCGUACGGGGGCCAAUACCCUCCGUACCUGACGGUACUCCUUUAGCAAGCAUCGGCUAACUCUGUGCCAGCAGCCGCGGUAAGACAGAGGAUGCAAACGUUGCUCGGAAUUACUGGGCGUAAAGCGCGUGUAGGCGGUCUGAUAAGUCGGACGUGAAAUCCCGGGGCUCAACCCCGGAAGAGCGCUCGAUACUGCCAGACUUGGGUUCUGAAGAGGAGAGCGGAAUUCCCGGUGUAGAGGUGAAAUUCGUAGAUAUCGGGAGGAACACCAGUGGCGAAGGCGGCUCUCUGGGCAGAUACCGACGCUGAGACGCGAAAGCGUGGGAAGCAAACAGG
rnacentral:rRNA from 1 species